UAACUUAAGAGUUUGAUUAUGGCUCAGAACGAACGCUGGCGGCAUGCCUCAUACAUGCAAGUCGAACGAGGUCUUCGGAUCUAGUGGCGCACGGGUGAGUAACAUGUGGGAAUCUACCUGAAGGUUCGGAAUAACUGCGGGAAACUGUAGCUAAUACCGGAUGUGUCUGCAAAGAGAAAGAUUUAUCGCCUUCAGAUGAGCCCGCACUAGAUUAGCUAGUUGGUGAGGUAAUUGCUCCACCAAGGCUACGAUCUAUAGCUGAUUUGAGAGGAUGAUCAGCCACACUGGGACUGAGACACGGCCCAGACUCCUACGGGAGGCAGCAGUAGGGAAUAUUGGACAAUGGGGGAAACCCUGAUCCAGCAAUGCCGCGUGAGUGAAGAAGGCCUUCGGGUUGUAAAGCUCUUUCAUCAAUGAUGAUAAUGACAUUAGUUGAAGAAGAAGCCCCGGCUAACUUCGUGCCAGCAGCCGCGGUAAUACGAAGGGGGCUAGCGUUGUUCGGAAUCACUGGGCGUAAAGCGUAUGUAGGCGGAUCAAAAAGUUAGAUGUGAAAUCCCUGGGCUCAACCCAGGAACUGCAUUUAAAACUAGUGAUCUAGAAUUUGGUAGGGGCCAGUAGAAUUUCCAGUGUAGAGGUGAAAUUCGUAGAUAUUGGAAAGAAUACCAGUGGCGAAGGCGACUGGCUGGGCCAUUUUUGACGCUGAGAUACGAAAGCGUGGGUAGCAAACAGGAUUAGAUACCCUGGUAGUCCACGCAGUAAACGAUGAGUGCUAGUCGCUGGGACAAUAGUUUCAGUGUCGAAGCUAACGCAUUAAGCACUCCGCCUGGGAAGUACGGUCGCAAGAUUAAAACUCAAAUAAAUUGACGGGGGCCCGCACAAGCGGUGGAGCAUGUGGUUUAAUUCGAAGCAACGCGAAGAACCUUACCAGACCUUGACAUGGUAUGUUUGAAUUACAGAAUCGUAAUUCUUCAGUUCGGCUGGCAUACACACAGGUGCUGCAUGGCUGUCGUCAGCUCGUGUCGUGAGAUGUUGGGUUAAGUCCCGCAACGAGCGCAACCCUCAUUUUUAGUUGCCAUCAGGUUAAGCUGGGCACUCUAAAAAAACUGCCGGUGAUAAGCUGGAGGAAGGCGGGGAUGACGUCAAGUCCUCAUGGCCCUUACGGUCUGGGCUACACACGUGCUACAAUGGUGGUGACAGUGGGCAGCGAUACUGCAAAGUACAGCUAAUCCCAAAAAACCAUCUCAGUUCGGAUUGGACUCUGCAACUCGAGUCCAUGAAGUUGGAAUCGCUAGUAAUCGUAGAUCAGCGUGCUACGGUGAAUACGUUCUCGGGCCUUGUACACACCGCCCGUCACGCCAUGGGAGUUGGUUUUACCUUAAGCCGGUGCGCUAACCGUAAGGAAGCAGCCGUCCACGGUAGGGUCAGCGACUGGGGCGAAGUCGUAACAAGGUAACCGUAGGGGAACCUGCGGUUGGAUCACCUCCUUU
rnacentral:rRNA from 1 species